AUGCAAAGAAGCCAUACAUCAACACUUCACAAGCACCGCUGACUUCUCUAGACCCGGUUUCAUCUGAGACAGAAAGCAGAACAUUGGAUUUGUGGUCCGACGAGUCCACAUUUCACAUAUUUUUGGAAAAACAACCAUCGUGUUCUUCACGCCAAGAAGGAAAAAGACCAUCCAAGCUGUCAUCACCAUCAGGUCCAAAAGCCAGCGUCUGUCAUGAUGCGGGGGUGUGAAUGGGGGAAAAUCCAAUGCUAAACUUAACCAAUUUUUGCGAAAAUUGACCAAAGACUCGAUUGUCCCAGCUUUUCCCUGGUGUGUUUCAAUCAUCUGAUUUAGACUUCACCGCAGACCUAACAGUAGAUUUAUAAACGCUGCCUUAUCUGACCGGCUCAAGGACACAAGAUGUUGAGAUGAAACUCUGCAGAGCGGAGUGUUUUGCUGGUGUGACUCUAGUUGGCGGAUCUCCUGCGGCUGCGAGACAUUAAACGCCUGCUGUUCUCUUUCAGGUAGUCUAGAUGUUUUGUUUAAACACUGUCUUGCAUUUGGGGCUUUGUAAAGGGAUGUUCCAUGUUCAAAACAAGCUUUAUGGACAGCGUUUGUGGGAUGCUGUGCUUUACCACCAAAAAUAAAUGUAUCUCCGUUUGAAAAACAAAAAUAAAAAAAUGUGCUUUUACAGUGAUGGAGAUACUUUUCCAUUACUGUAUUUGGACACUUCACAGUUUAAAUAAACAUUUUUUACAUCUGAGUUUCACGCUUUUAUAUCUAGUACAAGUGCAUUGAUGUUUGAUGCUUUUAAAUGAUGUUGAGCGCAGUCUUCUGUGGUUCACGCGUGUGAUAGCGAGUAAAUCAUCUUUCCACAGAGCAUCUGUUUAGAUGAAUCUGUGUGGAAUAUUAAAGCGCAGUUUUAAACUCUGUACAUGAAUCCCUCUUUCAGAACUGAUGGAAGCAGCCGCGUCCAGGGAUGAAUAUAAUCUAAUAACACCAUGGGCUUUACACACGCUCAAAUGAAAGCAAUUAAAAAGCCUGCGUCUGCGCAGACCCCUUCCCCUGAGUGUGAGUUUACAUGAGCUUUAGCUGCG